rnacentral:rRNA from 1 species
UACGUAGGGGGCAAGCGUUGUCCGGAUUUAUUGGGCGUAAAGAGCGUGUAGGCGGCCAGGUAGGUCUGCUGUGAAAACUCGAGGCUUAACCUCGAGCUGUCGGCGGAAACCAUCUGGCUAGAGUCCGGAAGAGGAGAAUGGAAUUCCCGGUGUAGCGGUGAAAUGCGCAGAUAUCGGGAAGAACACCCGUGGCGAAGGCGGUUCUCUGGGACGGUACUAACGCUGAGACGCGAAAGCGUGGGGAGCGAACAGG